rnacentral:misc_RNA from 1 species
GAUGAAGAACGUAGUGAAAUGCGAUACGUAAUGUGAAUUGCAGAAUUCAGUGAAUCAUCGAGUCUUUGAACGCACAUUGCGCCCCCUGGUAUUCCGGGGGGCAUGCCUGUCCGAGCGUCAUUGCUGCCCUCAAGCACGGCUUGUGUGUUGGGCCUCCGUCCUCCUCCCGGGGGACGGGCCCGAAAGGCAGCGGCGGCACCGCGUCCGGUCCUCGGGCGUAUGGGGCUUCGUCACCCGCUCUUGUAGGCCCGGCCGGCGCUUGCCGACACAUCAAUCUUUUUUCCAGGUUGACCUCGGAUCAGGUAGGGAUACCCGCUGAACUUAAGCAUAUCAAUAAGCGGAGGA